AUUGAACGCUGGCGGCAUGCUUUACACAUGCAAGUCGAACGGUAACAGCACUUCGGUGGCUGACGAGUGGCGAACGGGUGAGUAAUGUAUCGGAACGUGCCCAGUAGUGGGGGAUAACUACUCGAAAGAGUGGCUAAUACCGCAUGAGAUCUCUGGAUGAAAGCGGGGGACCGUAAGGCCUCGCGCUACUGGAGCGGCCGAUAUCAGAUUAGGUUGUUGGUGGGGUAAAGGCCUACCAAGCCUGCGAUCUGUAGCUGGUCUGAGAGGACGACCAGCCACACUGGGACUGAGACACGGCCCAGACUCCUACGGGAGGCAGCAGUGGGGAAUUUUGGGCAAUGGACGCAAGUCUGAUCCAGCAAUGCCGCGUGCAGGACGAAGGCCUUCGGGUUGUAAACUGCUUUUGUACGGAACGAAAAGCCUUCUUCUAAUACAGGAGGGUCAUGACGGUACCGUAAGAAUAAGCACCGGCUAACUACGUG
rnacentral:rRNA from 1 species